AUGAAUGCGGCAGACGAGCCCUUCAGAAAUACCUCACACCUCUUCCAUUUCAACCUGGAGGGUGAUUUGCCGCCCACUCCCCAAAGAAUAAACGCCUUUAACGAACCUGGUGCGGAAAGAAACUGGGGCCGGGGGCGGGGGAUGAGAGAGGGAAAGCAGUUCCUUUAUUGUUGGAAAAGGCCCCUCGGUCCUGAACUUCAAGGGCAGGUUUGCACUCCUGGGUCUUCAGCCGCCACCGAAGCGCGAUCUCCUGGCAGCGAGACUGUCCCAGCGCCUCGGAAUGCGUCCCCUGUGGUCCAGCGCCCGGGGAGCGAGCCCGACGCCUGCUCUGCGGGGCCACAGGCCCCUGAGACCCGCCCUUGCGGGGUCUGCGGGCUCAGGAGCAGCGGUGUAGGCAUCGUGAUGGACUCCGGUGAUGGGGUCACCCACAUUGUGCGCAUCUAUUAGGGGUAUGCCCUCCCCCACACCAUCCUGCAUCUGGACCUGGCUGGCUGGGACCUUACCACCUCAUGAAGAUCCUCACCAAGCUACUGCUUCACCAUCAUGGCUAGCGGGAAAUUGUGUGUGACGUCAAGGAGAAGCUAUGCUACCUUGCCCUGUACUUCGAGCAGAAGAUGGCCAUGGCAGCCUCCAGUUCCUCCCUGGAGAAGAGCUAUGAGCUGCCCCACGGCCAGGUUAUCACCAUCCGCAACAAGCAGUUCCGCUGCCCUGAGGCACUCUUCCAGCCUUCCUUCCUAGGCAUGGAAUCUUGUGAAUCUCUGCAUCCACGAAACUACCUUCAACUCCAUCUUGAAGUAUGAUGUGGACAUCUGCAAAGACCUGUACGCCAACACAGUGCUGUUUGGUGGUACCAUCAUAUACCCUGGCAUCACCAAAAUGAUGCAAAAGGAGAUCACCGCCCUGGUGACCAGCACAAUGAUGAUCAAGAUCAUUGCUCCUCCGAGCGCAAGUACUCUGUGUAGAUGGGCGGCUUCAUCCUGGCCUGGCUGUCCCCCUUCUGGUAGAUGUGGAUCAGCAAGCAGGAGUACCACGAGUCCAGCCCCUCCGUCAUCUACUGCAAAUGCUUCUAGGCGGACUGUGAUUUAGUUGCAUUACACCCUUUCUUGACAAAACCUAACCUGCGAAGAAAACAAGAUGAGAUUGGCAUGGCUUUAUUUGCUUUUUUGUUGUUUUGGGUUUGUUUGUUUUUUGUUUUUGGCUUGACUCAGGAUUUAAAAACUGGAACGGUAAAGGUGACAGUAGUCACUUGGAGCAAGCAUCCCCCAGAGUUCUAUAAUGUGGCCCAGGACUUUGAUUGUACACUGUUCUUUUUUAAAAUAGUCAUUCCAAAUAUCGUGAGAUGCAUUGUUACAGGAAGUCCCUUGCCCUUCCAAAAGCCACCCCACUUCUCUCUAAGGAGAAUGGCCCAGUCCUCACCCAAGGCCACACAGAGGAGGUAAUAGCAUCACUUUUGUGUAAAUUAUGUAAUGAAAAUUUUUUAAAA